GCCCCCGUAGCUCAGUGGAUAGAGCAGCGGUUUCCUAAACCGAAGGUCACAGAUUCGAGUUCUGUCGGGGGCG
rnacentral:tRNA from 1 species